rnacentral:misc_RNA from 1 species
UCCCUGUUACCAGGGCAGUCUAGCUAGAGAAAUACAACUAACUAUAAGGGUUGCGCUCGUUGAUGGACUUAACCAAACAUCUCACGACACGAGCUGACGACGGCCAUGCAUCACCUGUCACUUGGCUCUAAAAGCACUUUCUCCUUUCGGAGAAAUUCCAAGGAUGUCAAGCCUGGGUAAGGUUCUUCGCUUAUCAUCGAAUUAAACAACACGCUCCACCGCUUGUGCGGGUCCCCGUCAAUUCCUUUAUGUUUUAGUCUUGCGACCGUACUCCACAGGCGGGAUGCUUAACGCGUUAGCUUCGCUACAUCCGGGGUCGAUACCGAAUACAGCUAGCAUCCAUAGUUUACGGCGUGGACUAC